GGCAGCAUGGCCUAGUGGCUAGAACCCCAGACUGUAAUUCAGGAGACCUAGGUUCUAUUCCUGGCUCUGCUG
rnacentral:tRNA from 1 species